rnacentral:rRNA from 1 species
GACGAACGCUGGCGCCGUGUCCUAAUACAUGCAAGUCGAGCGAGCUUGCCUAGAUGAUUUUAGUGCUUGCACUAAAUGAAACUAGAUACAAGCGAGCGGCGGACGGGUGAGUAACACGUGGGUAACCUGCCCAAGAGACUGGGAUAACACCUGGAAACAGAUGCUAAUACCGGAUAACAACACUAGACGCAUGUCUAGAGUUUGAAAGAUGGUUCUGCUAUCACUCUUGGAUGGACCUGCGGUGCAUUAGCUAGUUGGUAGGUAACGGCUUACCAAGGCAAUGAUGCAUAGCCGAGUUGAGAGACUGAUCGGCCACAUUGGGACUGAGACACGGCCCAAACUCCUACGGGAGGCAGCAGUAGGGAAUCCUCCACAAUGGACGAAAGUCUGAUGGAGCAACGCCGCGUGAGUGAAGAAGGGUUUCGGCUCGUAAAGCUCUGUUGGUAGUGAAGAAAGAUAGAGGUAGUAACUGGCCUUUAUUUGACGGUAAUUACUUAGAAAGUCACGGCUAACUACGUGCCAGCAGCCGCGGUAAUACGUAGGUGGCAAGCGUUGUCCGGAUUUAUUGGGCGCAAAGCGAGUGCAGGCGGUUCAAUAAGUCUGAUGUGAAAGCCUUCGGCUCAACCGGAGAAUUGCAUCAGAAACUGUUGAACUUGAGUGCAGAAGAGGAGAGUGGAACUCCAUGUGUAGCGGUGGAAUGCGUAGAUAUAUGGAAGAACACCAGUGGCGAAGGCGGCUCUCUGGUCUGCAACUGACGCUGAGGCUCGAAAGCAUG